GCCAAUACUGCAUUCAACAAACAUACUUUUACAAUGAUUUAUUAGAUCACCAGUGUGACAUUUUACAGUUAAACUAUAAAUGACAAUAUUUUAAUUUACAUUUUUUUUUUAAAGUCUUUUGUAGAAGUUUCUCCUGCACUAGGGGUUUGCCAUACUCCAUUCUGCUCCUUAUUUUCUGAAAUUUUUUUUUCUGUAUUAAAUGAAGAUCCGGUGCAUCCAGAAAAAGCCUUUCCUCACUGAUGUGCAACAGAAAUGUGUAACUUCAAAUGGCCUUGCAUUAUAGGCAGGUAGAGCCAUUAUUAUGGCUUUGUGAAUAUAAUAGGUUCUAUCCUGUGCAUGUUUAAGAAAACAUUGAAAUAUCACAGAUAAACUUUGACCACGCAGAUUCAAAAACAAAAAGAAACAAGUGUUACCUCUGGCUUAAUCACCCUUUUGUCUUUUUUAUCCAUUCAGUUGGUUGUUUCAGUAAUUGGCUCCCAGAACAUGCCUUAAAAUGUAUUUAUGCCUUUUAAGGAAUAUAUUCACCACUUCUCCCUAGAUGUGAAACCUUUUUUUUUUUUUUUUUUUCUGUGUGUAUGCUUUCUAUAUGUUUUGUAAAACUGAUGCAGGUAAACUUUUAGGUUUAAUUUAUUUCGUUUUUUCCUUUUUGCAUUGACUUGUUAAGCUGUAGAUGGGUGUUUCUGUGCAAUGCUAAAAAUUACUGGACAAAUACUUUAUACCAGUAUACCUCAACUACAUACUGCAAAC